rnacentral:tRNA from 1 species
CGGGCUGUGGCGCAGCUUGGUAGCGCAUCUGCUUUGGGAGCAGAGGGUCGCUGGUUCGAAUCCAGUCAGCCCGACCA